CCGAGGACAACGACUGACUGUGAACAUUCGGGCAGCAGCAGCGAGUUGCACAUUACUGUGCGGAAGAUAUAUUGCCGUUAUGCAGCUCCGGUG